AUAACGACUCUCGGCAACGGAUAUCUCGGCUCUUGCAUCGAUGAAGAACGUAGCGAAAUGCGAUACUUGGUGUGAAUUGCAGAAUCCCGUGAACCAUCGAGAACGCAAGUUGCGCCCGAAGCCAUUAGGCUGAGGGCACGCCUGCCUGGGCGUCUCACA
rnacentral:rRNA from 1 species